AGUGAACGCUGGCGGUAGGCCUAACACAUGCAAGUCGAACGGCAGCACAGUAAGAGCUUGCUCUUACGGGUGGCGAGUGGCGGACGGGUGAGGAAUACAUCGGAAUCUACUUUUUCGUGGGGGAUAACGUAGGGAAACUUACGCUAAUACCGCAUACGACCUACGGGUGAAAGCAGGGGAUCUUCGGACCUUGCGCGAUUGAAUGAGCCGAUGUCGGAUUAGCUAGUUGGCGGGGUAAAGGCCCACCAAGGCGACGAUCCGUAGCUGGUCUGAGAGGAUGAUGAGCCACACUGGAACUGAGACACGGUCCAGACUCCUACGGGAGGCAGCAGUGGGGAAUAUUGGACAAAGGGCGCAAGCCUGAUCCAGCCAUACCGCGUGGGUGAAGAAGGCCUUCGGGUUGUAAAGCCCUUUUGUUGGGAAAGAAAAGCAGCAGGUUAAUACCCCGCUGUUCUGACGGUACCCAAAGAAUAAGCACCGGCUAACUUCGUG
rnacentral:rRNA from 1 species